AGCCAGGAAGUGACAAAAGGCAGAGAAUUACUGACCGCUAUAGGAAGCACGAUAAUCCUUGGGCCAAGUCUUCUCUGUUUGGGGUCCACUAGAGUGAGCCGCCUUGCUUCCUAGUUCCUGGGGUAUUAAAGAUACCUAACCUUCCAAAUGCUAUCCCAAGAGAGAAUGCCUAAGCAACUUUUCUUCUCUUUCCCAUUUCCCCCCUUGCUGGUCACACCAGCAGUGACCGCCCCUCUGCAGGAGAAGCCGUGGAGGCAGAACCCCAGCACGACGACGUACCAGUGUGCCUCUCGGCAUUUUCUAACAGGUCAGCCCUUGGCUGGCAAUUAUCACCCCUUUGUCUCCAUGGAUGUGGCUAAAUGGAGAGCACAGAUAUUUUCAUGCCAAAUGAAGGCCAAGUCAUGACUGGCCCUGCUGUUCCAAGUUUCCCCGUGGAUUGAAGGGAUAAAGUGGCGGGAGAACUGAGUCAUCAAGCAUGCAACCACACCGCAGUGCUGAACUCUGAAAUGCCUCAGGGUGGCAGGCAGAAGCCGAGGCACUUUGGGAGUAGCAGCUCCGUUUCAGAAAAAUAUCAGCUGUCAAGUUAGACUUGUGUAAGUAACUUCAAUUAUAUUGGUUUCAUCAUUUUGUUUGGGUCGAAUUUUAAAAUGUGUUGUGCCUUUAUAAUUUUAUAAGUGCUGUAAAUCCAAGGAAAUUUUUAUCCCUGUUUUCAUAUUUGUACACAUCUAAGUAACGUUGCAGUGAAAAGUAAUUUAAGGCAACACUAGAUGGUCCAUGAGCUUUUCUUUUAAAAUCUUUUAUUUAUUUUGUUACAAGUGGUCCUUUUGAGAAACAGUGCUCUAAACAUUUUGGACCAUUUCUCGAGGAAUUUUCUCUGUUGUGCAUUUCCUUGAAUAUUUCACCAGUCCAGAUCUUUCUCCUCUGACCACGGAUGUGUUGAGGUCAUUGUGGCAGACAUUUUGUUGCCUGCCCAGCACCAAAGAAGUCUAUCUACAGUUACUGCCCCUCUGUUUUCCUUUCUGCAACGUGGGUCUCAGUGGAACCGCCAAUCACGGUGCCCCAUCCCACCUCCACCCCCACUCCCUGGCCCGGGGCUGGAUGCGGAUCCCAAUGAUGUCAGACAGGCUCUCGCUGGAAUUUGAGGCUUGACGCAGAGUGACAUGAGGACUGAAAAUAGUUGAAGCUGAUUCAUCCCAAAGGGUCGAGGCUCCUGCUACUUUAUUCCUUGGUUUUGCCUGGGUUCUGUCCUUUCCAAAAUUUGCUGAUCAGUCAUCGCUUUAAUUCUGUGGGCUAACCUUACCUUUCAACCCAUCCCUUUAUUUUUGAUAAGUUUAGCCAGAGUUGGUUUCUAUUACCCACAACAAUUGAUGGAGCCAUAAGAGUGACAUCUGGUAAAAAGGGUCAGUGAUGAUACCAGGAAGUUUUGUCUGGGUCACAAAAAGAAUGUAUAGCAUUUAUUGGGGUUCAUCAUGUGGCUGUUCAUUCUACAAACACUCUUGAAAGAGGCUGUGGAGCCUAGUGGCUUUAGUAUCACAGGGAGCUAGUUCUCUCACUUAUCAGCUGUGUAGGUCGCCCUGGGCAUGUUCCUUAAACUCUCCAAGCCUGUUUCCUCACAGGUAAGCUGGGAUAAUAAUAGUAAAUACCACAUGGUAUUGUUGUGAAGAUUAAAUGAGAUAAGAUACAUAAAGCUUAGAGUAAAGACUUAAAAUAUGAAGUGUUAUUCUUACAAUUUUCAUAUGUUUUAUGAGAUAGUCACUGAGCUCCAUGCUGGGGAUGCAAAAGUAGUAAGAGAAAAGAAAUUAAGUCCACCCAUAUUUUUCUUGGAAAAAACAUUGACUUUGUUUGAAGAAGUACAUUGAUAAUCUGCCUGGGGUGGAAAGCAAGGAAUUAAGCACCACCGAGGAAAUCAUUAAUUGAAAGUCGAGUGAGAAUGGGAAGAGAAGAGAAAUUAGCCAAAGAAUGACAGAUUGGGGAUUUUAGAGUGAAAGGUGAUGUCAUAUGUAGCCUAUGUACAGUUAGGGGACAGUUGUUAUCUGUGUUUUAUUUCCGGAGUCCUAUGUGGGAUGGUGGAAUUAAGGGACAACUUCCAGUUUAUAAUUUAUAUGAUACUCAGAAAGCAGACCCUUGAAACAGGAUUUUGAGAUUGGGUUGUGUAUAGCACAGAGACCGUGUGCUCGGUAGGGGUGAGGGGAGAACGGGACAUGGAUAAUUCAUGGCGUAUAGCCACAACAUGACUCCCCAAAUGAUCAUGGUAUGAUAGCAAGAAGCCAAGUGCGGUGGAGGGCAAGGCAUGGGGAGGUCAAGUGGCUGUGGGACUUAAUUGCUAUAGCGAUAGUCGUGUUUGUAAGGAUCAUGGAGACACCUGGCUUCUUCUGAGAACCCUAGAUAGUCCAAGGGAAAUGAAAAGCUUUAAAGAUACACUUAAGAAUGCACACAGGGAACCAGAAGGCCUCCAUGACCGCUUGGAGGGAAUCCUUCCUUUUUUGUAACUGCAGGGUUGAUACGGCUGAGGGGUAAAGGGUACAGAGGGUGAAACCUGCUAGGCUUCUUACCCUAGGGUAAGGGCACUGGUGGGGCUGGAGUGGGACAUGAAGCAUGGCUGGUUUGAAGACAUUUGGGCAGACAUGGACAAGGCUGAGAACUUUGAAUCGUUAAGUUCCCCUUGCCUCCCUUGCCAGCAGAGGAAACCUCAUGCCUCUCUGAGGGAACAAACCUUCCUCUCCUAAAAGCCUUUAUACCUGGCAAUUGUGUCCCAAACUAGUGUCACUGCUCAUUAUCUUCAGGCCCCAACAAGAGUUGAAACCAACAGAGCCCUGAUGGAGAGGCACAAAGGCUGGUGUGGGAAGGGAGAGUUUAUACCUAGCUCCAAGAUGUCACUGAUCUGAAUUGGCAAGAGCCUGGGAAGCAACUGUCAGAGUGGAUUCUAAAGGUGUUAGACCUUGGGGCACCUGGGUGGCUCAGUUGGUUAAGCGACUGGAGUCCCAGGAUCAAGCCCUGCAUCCGGCUCCCUGCUUGGCAGGGAGUUUGCUUCUCACUCUGACCCUCCUCCCUCUCGUGCUCUCUCUCUCAAAAAACAAAACAAAACAAAACAAAACAAAACAAAACAAAACAAAACAAAAAAACCAACUUAAAAAAAAAAGUGUUAGACCAAAAAGGACACUAUGUGAGGCUUUUUUGGUUUGAAUUAUUAACACUGGAGUACUCUUCUGGGAUUCUAGAUUUAAUGUGUUGGCUUCAGUGUGCUCAAUUGGCUGACCAAAAUCUGGACUUGGCAGCCAUGGCGUGGCAGGUUGUGUUUUCUGAACUGUUUGGAAUAUAUAUCCUACCCCAGAUGCUCAGUCCUAGGGCUAAGUCAGUUCUCUUGCUUUCUAUCACAGUGCAGUUUGGAGGAAUAUUGGUCAUUUUGCUAUCCCUUAGUAGAUGGAAUUAUGCUAAUGGAGUUGGUGGUGAGGAAGUAGCAAACCGCUUUGAUGUCUUACCAAAAAACAAGUAUGCCUUAGGGUGAAAAAGAAAUCCUGAGAAAGUUUAGGGCUUUGACAUCUUGGUGAGUUUCUAGAGUCCAGUGAUCUGGUUAUUUGGGGCUAUUCCUUCUAAAGUGAGAGACAUGUUGCACCUCACCUGGCUCACUCGGUGAGCUUCUUUGGAUUUUGGAGGCAUAUACCCCAUUUGGGCAUGCUGCUUUGACUCACUUAUUGGGCAACCCAUAGGAUACCAGUUCUGAAUAGGGUCUGCAAUAAGAAAAGGUCGUGCAGCGGGGCUGGGCUGAGGGCUCAGUUGUCCUGCCACUUGAGCCUUAUGACCUAGCGGAACCAGCAGUAGGAGAGAAUUUCCUUGGGAAAAGAAACUCCAAUAUAAUAAAAAUACAUACGAUUUUUAUUUUCUCAUUUUUAUAAAAUACAUGCUUAUUAUGCAAAUUUUAAAUAUACAAAUAAGGAAAAAGAAGAAAAUAAAUCAAUUAUAACCCCACAACCCAUAUAACUGUGGAUCCUAUUUUGGUGCAUAUCCUCCCAGUGUUUUUUGUUUUUUGUUUUUCCCUGAGGCAUGUAAAUACUUACCUUUUUCUUUAGAAGAACAGACUAUAUAGAACUAUAUAGAAUUCUAUAACUUACAUUUUCCAUUAAGUAUGUUAAAAGCCCUUCCUUAUUCUUCAGCAUCAUUAUUUUAAAUACCUGUUUCAUGGUUCAUUGUAUGGAUAUCUCAUGAUUUACUUAAUUUCUUAGCUGUGGAUAGUUAGAUUAUUUUCCAUUUUUAGCUAUUAUGACAGGUUUUGCUGACCACCAUAUUUUAAUUUUUAUUCUAUUAAACUAAAACCACAACCUAUAAAAAAAGAAAACUAUUACCUGAAAAGUAAUAUAUCUUUAAAUUAAAAAACGUGAAAAAAAGUACAUAUAUUUUAAUUUGGGGAGGAGAAAUGUAAAGCGUGCAUCUAUCCUUACAAUAAUGUAAAACUUUCUGGACGUAUUGCUUUUGUGAAGUAGGUGAUUAGUCCAGUUUCAUAUCCCACGAGCUUUGAGCAACAAACGUCUGGGACAGAAUUACACGUCAAACCCACAGACUGUAGAGAUUUCCUCUUGUUUUUUUCCAUCACUGUUGAUGAGCAUCAAAUAGUUUACUGUGACAUUUUGGUUUGGGUUAAUUCUGCCGAAGAACAACUUCCCUAAGAGUGGCCUUCUGUAUUAAUCAUGAUUUCUAGUUUCUAUAUUUUAUGAUGUUUGACAUCUUGGGAGGCAUUGCUGGCUGGGGAGAGACUGCCCCUUCCUGGGGCUACUUGGUUCCUAGAGAGUGCCAACAACUCCCUAGUGAGCAUCUUUUUCAUAUGCGCAUCAACCCAUCCAAAGUCUGCCUCCCCAGCCACUUCCUUUACUUACACACUCACACACCAAACCACCAUCUCCCCUGCCCUAAAUCAGGUACUGGGCAGCUGGAGACCACCCCUAGAGCUAGAAGCCCUGUUGAAAUUCUUCAAACUAUUCAAUCUUCAGCUUGUUCAAACCUGUCUACCCUGCCUUACCCAUUCCUUUCCCGAGAAUAAAGGCUCUGGGUCAUCUUAUCCUCACUCCUUCUGCCUCUUGGCGCUUUCCCACACCCUGUGUGGUGUGUGGGCCCAUCUCUUGGGAAAUGGAAGGAAUCAACUCUUCUUUCAAAGGUAGUUUUCCUGUGUCUGUCACCGCACCACACUUGAUUAAAACAAAUCCCAGGUACAUCUUAGAACACCUCCCUUCUCUCUUUAACCGGAAAUAUUCUAAAGCUGCCUGGGGUCCCAAUUCUAUGCCCUUCCUUAGCCUUUUCUGGUUUAUGGCCACAUCCACAUGGGGCUGGUGUGCAUCUAGCAUUUUUGGAUUGCCUGAGCCCUGAAGUUCUGUACACUGUGUGGAUAGAGUUUUUUUUUUUUUUUUUUUCCCGUAAUACAGAAUGCCCUUUAGGUAUUACAAUUUGUUUUUUAUUUUUCUGGUUUUAUUAUUAUUAUUAUUUUAACUGGAUCUUCAUGGUUUUUUCUUGUUCAAAAGAAGAAAAUAAUCCAUUAUUUUGCUUCAUAAUCUUUGAAUAGCUUCAUGAAACAAGAGGACCCCUGGAUUUUAUAUGACGAAAAUAUGUCUAUAGCAAAUGUAAAUUUUACCCACUGUGUGUCUUUCCCCAAAGCCCAGUAAUUGGACAUUUAAAAGAUGUCAACCGAAGCCUCCGUUUGAUCUCCAUAGCUCUGGCAGCUUAGAAAUAACUCCCGCUGAGAAACAGACAAAUGCCUGCUCACAAUGAGACUAGGAAGCACAGGGACCUCUAAGAAAAUGUGCGAUUCCCUAGGAAAGUAUAAAUCAAACAGAAAUCGAACCUGAGGGCUUAUGUACAUUUUAUUUUUAUUAUUAUUUUUUUAAUGUUUUAUUUAUUUAUUUGACAGAGACACAGCGAGAGAGGGAACACAAGCAGGGGAAGUGGGAGAGGGAGAAGCAGGCUUCCCGCGGAGCAGGGAGCCCGAUGUAGGGCUCGAUCCAGGACCCUGGGAUCAUGACCUGAGCCGAAGGAGACGCUUAACGCCUGAGCCACCCAGGCGCCCCGCUUAUGUACAUUUUAAAAAGACAUUUUUUUCCCCCCUGCAAAAUAAGCUUGGUAGAUUUUUUUUAAAAAAAUGACUUAUUUGAUAAAAUGCUGAAUUUAGCAAAUUUAGAAAAUUCAGUCAAACAUUAAAUGCUCACUGAGUACCAUGUCUACAGCUUGCAGGCUCAGAACAAAAAUGGCAAAAGCUCUUAAUAACGUAAUGUAUGAUAACACAAAAAGACAUAUACCGAGGAGUGAUGGAGUCACAAUGCCUCAAUUCUUGGGUGGGCUUCACUUAGUGACAGUGGGUAUCCCUUCACUUUCCAGACCCUUCUUCAUUCGUGAAAUGAAAGGACUGGACUGUCUGCAUUCUUCCCAUUCUAAAACUCUGACAUAUUAAGAAUUUACUUGGGAUUCUUUCUAUGACUAUUCCAAGCCCAUCUUUAGAUCUUUAAAUUAGAAAACCCUCUGGUAGAGAUCUUUCCUCUUAAUUUAUUAGCAGUACCAACCACUUCUGAUUUAUGUCAAAAUAUCGAUGCAUGCAUUUACAUUUUAUGAUGAAGAAAUGAAAAAAAAGGGGGGUGCCUGGGUGGCUCAGUUGGUUAAACGUCUGCCUCUUGAUCUUGGCUCAGGUGAUGAUCUCGGGGAUCAUGAGUUCGGGCCCCGAGUUGAGCUCCAGGCUUGGCAUGGAGCCUACUUAAAAAAAAAAAAAGAAAAGAAAAGAAAAAAAAAAGAGUAAUGGCUAAAAUGGAAAACUCUUUGACAAUGGUUUCUCGACGAAAGGAGGGUAGACGGCGUUCAUGCCAGUUGUGGAGUCGGGGAGCGCCCCACGCUGGUAGGCUCUGAAUUGCUCGCCUCUCUAAUGGUGACACUAGACACUGGCAAGUUCGGUCCCAGUUCUGGUUGAAUCCAAACCCCUUGUUUUGCCUGUGGAAUACGCCUUAGGAACGUGGGCUUUCGAGUUAAAUAACUGGGUUCUGAUUCUGGCCCUGUCACAUACUGCCUGUGCUACACACCAAUUAUUCCAUUUUCUGAAGGUUCAGUUUCGUUGCCUCUAAAAUGCAGCUGAGACUAAUGCCUGGUUCAGAGAGUAACUGUGAGGUUUCAGUGAGCGAAUGGCUGCUGCCGUUUGUUUUCACUGAGCAAGUGCUCAAACAGUGGUUCCUCUUAUUAGGCCCUAUUGCCUUCUUGGAUCUCAAUUCCGUGCCCUUAUGAUCUUGUAGAACUAGGAAUAGUAAAGAAAAAAUGUGAUAUGAUUUAUAAAUAAUAUAAAGGAAGUUGGGGGGAAUAGAGCAUCUAGUAUAAGAGAAAGAUGAACUAUUUCACGAAGGUAGAAAAUAGAUCCUAAUAGAGUUUACAAAGGCAGAAAAAUUAACUUAAGAAAUGACAGACAGGAAAAAAAAAUCAGUAUCAGAUUGGGAAGGGACAGGACAUUUUGACUCUCCUAAAGCUUUCAUACCACAGACAUUUUGAUAAGCAGACGGCAAAGGCUGUGAUUGUUAUUUGGGUGAUAACCAGUGGUUUCAUACCUUCUUCAUAACCCUGGAGAAUAAAAUGAAGUAGAUUCAAGGCCAUUAGGUUUUUUUCUGCUUGGAGUUUGUCUUUUUUUCCCGUCUUUUAAGAGUUCAGCUCUUCUUUGUAGAAGCACCCAGCUCACGUUACAAGUCUUUUUUUUUUUUUUUUUUUUAAGAUUUUAUUUAUUUGUCAGAGAGAGAGAGAACACAAGCAGGGGGAUGGCGGGCAGAGAGAGAAGCAGGGUCCUUGCUGAACAAGGAGCCCCAUGCGGGACUGGAUCUCAGGACCCCGGGAUCACGACCUGAGCCAAAGGCAGACACAACGUUGCAAGUCUUGAUGGGAGGAGACACCUACCCCUGACGUUGGAAGCCAGAGGGAACACUUUCUCUUUUCCAACCUGCACACCCAGCCAGGGGCAGCUCUGGAGCUGCGCUCUGCAAGCAGACACAUCUCUCAGACUUUGGCUCCUCUGGGGGGGAUACAGUGCGACGUGUGGACUGGGCUCUUCUUGCCAGGCCUACCCCUUCUGAGUUCUGUGAUUAUCUAUUUCCCCGUCUUGCUUGUGAGCUUUCCCUCCCCUCAAUCCUUCGCACCUCCAGGAGCCUCCCAGUGAAAUCCCUUUGUGCUGAGGGGAACCUGUUUAGUUUGGUUUCCCCCAGAAGCAGACUCUGGGGAAAGAGUUUGAAAGCAAGGAGUUUAUUUGGGAGGUGGCAGAAACAUCGGUUAGGAGAGUGGAGAUGGGAGGUGGGAAGAGAGAGCGCUGAUCAAAAGUGUAUAAUCACAGCCAUCUGGUGGGCUCCAGAAAUGAGGAACACGGAUCGUGCGGAACGUGCAGGAACGUGCAGGAACACAGAUCUCUGAGUUCUCUUGCUCACGUGGGGGCAGGCACGGGCGGAGUUAGAUACUGAUUUCUGUGAGUCCGAGCCUCGGGGCUGCUCCCGGCUUGCUCACUGUCCGAUCCUUCUGGCUGCCACCAGCAUGGGUAAGGGCAGCCUGCUCCUGUUCGGGGAAAGCCUCCCGUCAGAGGGCCAGCUCCUGGCAGUUGCCCCCGGGGUGCAGCACGCAGAGGCGAGGCAGGGGGGCUGCUGAGAGCAUCUGCUGCUGAGCCAGCCCGUCCCAGUUGCCUGAGAAUCAGAACCGGGCCUGCCACAUGCCAGAAGCAGGGCUGUAGCCAGACGGGCCACUCCCAGGUCAGUCAUGCCGACCCCACCUGCCUCCCCGACAUGGCCACGUCUUCCUUGGAGUCUCAGCCAGCCGGGUGCUCCUCCUUCCAGAUUCCUGGACCUCGGCAAAACCAGGCCGGCCAGUUGUGUGCUGGCCGCCCGGGAAUGGGGAGAGGAAAGGCUCUCUUUGACCUGAUUUCCCCAGUGGGAGGCAGAGCACUGAAUCCCACCUCUAUUGUCCUAAGAUUGGGAGGGGUGGGGGUUGGGGAAGUCAUGGGGAAGGAACCCUGACCCAUAUUCACGGCAGCCAUCACUUUGGCGUUUCCAUUUCCACCUUCAGUAGCAUCCCCAAAUCACACAGCCCAACAAGAAAAUCACCUGCCUAACAUGAUGAAUUAUUCCUCCGGUAACUAAAAAUGCACACACUUGUUCUCCUAAGGAAGAUCAACUAAAAUCACAUCGGUUAUGGUAAACACCUUCUGGGUUGGGAUUUCUCAAUAGGGUCUGUUCUUUCUCUAAUUCUGUGGUGAUCCCAUCACAAUAUUCCUACUGCUGGAGAGUGGAACAACCAAAGGAUCAGGCCUCGUGUGUAAUUAGAAGAAUACUAGUGCUCCAGAGGUGGUUGUGUUCUCCAAUUACCAAGUCUGUGACACCCAGGUCAGGGCCACGACUGGGAAAGGGCUGGGGAAUCUGGGUCGAUGCCUCAGAAAAUCUCGAAGCCCCAGACUCCUCUGAGUGUCCUGAGCCUGAGGAAAGGGCGUACUACUUCCUGUUAAAAACCAUAUUCCCUGCUUGUUUAAAAACAACACAGAAGCGUCUGCCAUGCAACACAAUAGGGAGUCCCCUCAGGAUCUCCAGCCAUCUCCUGCUCUGGCUAUCAGACCAGUAAGCAGGGUUGAAUCCAAUAAAACUCAACUGUGGGAGUGCUGAGCCUGCUAAGGAAGGACAGAGGCUCUGGGGCAGGGCAAGGAACCAGGGAACUCACCAGCAUGUGCUAGCAGCUGCUGGGAGGGUGUAGAUGGAACUGGAUCCUGACGGUGCCUGCUGAAGGGAGGUUAGAACAUAAUAAAGAGAGUUUAUCAUGGGAGCAUUCUUCCAUAAUACGUGAUUUAACACCUUUGGCAAUGACCCUGGGAAAUGAUGGCUCUUUAAAGUUUGCAGAAAGGCAAGGCCCACACCAAGUGAAGUAGAAAUUCCAGAACUGCUGUGGCAGGAGGUGGAAAAAUAGGUCAGAAGGCUCAGAGAAGAGGGCAUGCUAGAGUGGACAUAUAACCCAAGGCCAGAAAGCCCACCAACUGAUUACGUUCUGGGGCAGGGCCCAGAGGACAGUCCAUUUAUCAACAUAUUAAGGAAUGUUCUAUCGGGGCACCUUGGUGGCUCAGUCAGUUAAGCAUCUGCCUUCGGCUUGGGUCAUAAUCCCGGGGUCCUGGGAUUGAGCCCCACGUCGGGCUCCCUGCUCAGUGGGGGAGCCUGUUUCUCUCUCUCCCUCUGCCUGCCGCUCUGCCCACUUGUGCUCUCUCUGUCAAAUAAAUGGAUAAAAUCUUAAAAAAAAAAAAAAAAGAAUGCUCUGUUGAGAGGGCACCAGAUUCGCUGAGAGUCUCUUUGGUAGUUGUCCCUGGAGGACAGGGCUGAUGAUAGAAUAGGGCUUCCUGAUAACAAGGGGAUAAAAGGACUCCAAAAUAAUAAAGACCAGCAGGUCUUUACUCAUCAGAAGCAAUGAGGCUACAAAAUCGGAGUGUCAUGGGGGUGGGUGGGGCUGAUCACUAAGAAGGCUACAGAGAUGGUUAAUAGAUGUGUUCCCUGGGAGAGAGACUGAUGGACAGGCAAUAAGGGUAUUGCUUAAUUUAAGCCAUUGAGAGAAAUCAAGAAUGGAUGAUAAGAGAUCUGAGCUGUUUUAAGACCCAGAUACCCUGAAUUAAGGAGAGACCAUGUCUCCAAGAAGGAAGGAUACGGCAACACCAUGGCUAGUAGAUACGGCAGUGAUUCCUCUAGUCCUUUCCCAGGGAGACCCAUGGCCAUUUGCUCAUACAACCAAUCACUGGGGAAAGGGAAUAACCAAACAUUUCCAAACCUAUUGGACAUAGGGUAUAAGUUGACAGUGCUAUCUGAGAACCCAAAGCAGUUUUGUGGUCCACUGUUAGAGUGGGGGCAAAUGGGAGGCCAGGAAAUAAGAGCCUUGACUCAGGUCUACUUCAUAGUGGGUCAUCUGGUCUCUAGUGGGUCAGUUGGCCCCUAAAUUGGUAUUUAGGCAGAACCUCUACAUUGGCUCCUUGGCCUGAAAGAUAAGAGCACCACAGUGGGUAUUCCUUGAAACUCCUCAUCCCCUUCCCACUGCUCCAGCCCAAACAAUAUUAUAUCUUCAUGGGAAACAGCACAGGCUAAGGUUACCCUAAAGGAUGUAGGAGGUAGUGGUUCUCUUGCAUUCCCGUUUAAUUUGCAGAUUUAGCCCCUAAAACAUCUAGACCAGUCCUGGAGGAUUACAUAAGAUUACUCACACUCAACCAGGUAAUACCUUAGACUGCAGUAUUGUGCCAGAUGUGGGCAUCUAAACAAAACCUCAGGUGCACAGAUAGUGGUGAAUGAAUGCUGGUGUGAAUGAACAUUGAACGGUGAGGAACGUGUCCUAUUCCAUUCCUGUCAGAGAGGAGAUUAGAACAGUUCAUAUUUUGCCAGGGUGGACCACAUUUGUGGUCUGUAAAUGUUCUUACCUUGAGUCACUUCUCUUUCCACAUGAAGUGGACAACUAAGUGUAUGGCCCUAGGCUCUGCUCAUUGUGAAUACCUGCCUUCACUGCUGUGUUUUGGGGCUGUCCCUAUGGGACAGCAGCGGUCCAUAGGGACCAUUUUCAGCCCUGCAUAGCGUCGUCAGCUGGUCAUCAGGGACUCUCCUCCAUACUGCUUUGGGUGUGAGCUGAGCUGAAAGAGGGGAACUUGAUGAACCCAUCUGGAAUGCAUUCCUCUGCAUUAUGCUAAUGGAUUUCUGUCACCUCAACUUUGUUUAACAUUGGUCACCAUAGUUUAAUUUUGGAGAAAUUCAAGCUGCUUGUGGUGGCACGCCGAAUCCAGAAUCCAGAAUCUUGGGUAGGUUACCAGUAUCAGUCCAGGUUCAACCAGAGAGACAGAACCAGUGGAAGAUAUACAUUAAGGGAUUUAUUCCGCAGAAUUGGCUCACGUGAUUGUGGGGCUGGCAAGGCAAGUCCAAAAUUUAUAAGACAGUUUUUCAGGAAUGGCAGGUUGGACUUCUUGAAUAAGAGCCUUUUUUUUUUUUCUAUAAGAUUUUUAUUUGUCAGAGAGAGAGAGAGAGCACAAGCAGGGGGAGCAGCGGGCAGAGGGAGAAACAGGCUUCCUGCUGAGCAGGAAGCCCAAUGCGGGACUUGAUCCCAGGACUAGGAUCAUGACCUGAGCAGAAAGCAGACAUUUAACCAACCGAGCCACCCAGGCGUCUCUUGAUUAAGAACCUUAUCUGCUAUCCACAGGUGGAGUUUCUUCCUCGUGAAAGCCUCAGUUUUACUCUUUAAAGCCUUUCAACUGAUUUAAUCAGGCCCACCCAGGUUAUUUAUAAUCUCCUUCACUUCAAGUCAAUGGAUUGUGGACUUUAAUUACAUCUACAAAAUACCUUCACAGAAACACCUAGAUUAGCAUUUGAUUAAAUAACUGUAGGACUAUAGCUCAACCAAGUUGAUGCAUAAAACUGACCAUCAGAGUACCUGUAACAUUAAAUUCAAUCCCAUUUAAAAAUCAAAUCUUAAAAAAAAGCACCAAAUUUAUAGAUACAGAGAACAGAUUGGUGGUUGCUAGAAGUGGGGGGUAAGGAGUGGGGGGAAAUAGUUGAGGGGAGUCAAAAGGUACAAACUUCCAGUUAUGACAAAUAAGCUACGGGGAUAUAAUGUACAGCACAGUGACUCUAGUUAAUAUAACUUUAUUGCGUGUUUGAAAGUUCUAAGAGAGUGAAUCUUAGAAGUUCUUACCAUAAGAAAAAAAAUUCUGUAUCUACGUAUGGUGACAGAUGUUAACUAGACUUAUGGUGGUGAUCAUUUCCCAGCAUAUGCAAAUAUCUAAUCAUUAUGUUGUACAUCUGAAACCAAUAUGCUGUAUGUUAAUCAUACCUCAAUAAAAAUCAUAUUUUAAUGUUUUUCAUUUCUUUAAAAAAAAAGACUUCAUUUUUUCCCCCAAGUUUUUAUUUAAAUUCCAGUUAGUUAAUAUACAGUGUAAUACUAGUUUCAGGUGUAGAAUUUAGUCAUUCAACACUUCCAUACCUCUUUGACAUUGGCCAUAGCUACUUCUUACUAGAUGUGUCUCUUAUAUGGGAAACAAAAGCAAAAAUAAUCUAUUAGAACUUCCUCAAAAUAAAAAGCUUCUGCCCAGCAGAGGAAACAAUCAACAAAACUAAAAGGCAAUCUACGGAAUAAGUGAGAACAUUUGCAAAUGACAGAUCUGAUAAAGAAUUAGUAUCCAAAAUAUACAAACAACUUAUAAAACUCAACACCCAAAUAAUCCAGUUAAAAAAUGGGAAGACAUGAAUAAACAUUUUUCCAAAGAAGACAUCCAGAUGGCCGACACUUGAAAAGAUGCCCAACAUCAGGGGCACCUGGGUGGCUCAGUUGGUUAAGCGAUUGCCUUCUGCUCAGGUCAUGAUCCCAGGGUCCUGGGAUCGAGCCCCACGUUGGGCUCCCUACUCGGCGGGGAGUCUGCUUCUCCUUUUCCAUCUGCCACUCCCCCUGCUAGUGCUCUCCUGCUCUCUCAUUCUAUCAAAUAGAUAGAUAAAAUCUUAAAAAAAAAAAAAAAAGAUGCUCAACAUCACUUAUCAUCAGGGAAACGAAAAUCAAAACUACAACGAGGUAUCACCUCACACCAGACAGAACUGCUAAAAUGAACAACACAGGAAACAGGUGUUGGUGAGGAUGUAGAGGAAUGGGAACCCUCUUACAUUGUUGGUGGGAAUGUAAACUGCUGCAGCCGCUCUGGAAAACAGUAUGGAGGUUCCUCCAAGAGUUAAAAAUAGAGGUACUCUAUGACCCAGUAAUUGCAGUACUAGGGGUUUACCCAAAGGAUACAAAAAAAGAAAAGACUUCAUUUUUAAGGGCAGUGUUAGGUUCAUAGCAAAAUGCAAAGGAAGGUAUAGAGAUUUCCCAUAUAAUCCCGCCCCCCUAAUUAUCAAUACCCCCCACCAGAAUGGGACAUGGAUUACCACUAUUGAACCUAUACUGACAUAUCAUGAUCACCGUAAGUCCAUGGUUUACAUUAGGAUUCAUUCUGUGGGUUUGGACAAUUGUAUAUUGACAUGUAUCUAUCAUUAUGGUAUCAGAUUAUUUUUGCUGCCCUAAACAUCCUCCAUGUUUUGUGUAUUCAUCUCUGUCCCCUCCCCAAGCUCUGGCAACCAGUGAUCUUUUUACAAUCUCCAUAGUUUUGUCUUUCCAGAAUGUCAUAUAGUUGGAAUCAUACAGUAUGCAGCCUUUUCAGAUUGAUUUCUUUCACUUAGUAAUGUGCAUUUAAACCUUUCCCAUGUCUUUUCAUGGCUUGAUAGCUCAUUUAUUUUUAGGCUGAAUAAUAUUCCAUUGUCUGAUGUAUCACAGUUGAUUUAUCCAUUCACCGACUGAAGGACAUCCUGGUUGCUUCCAAGUUUUGGCAAAUAUGAAUAAGGCUGCUAUAAACAUCCGUGUGCAGGUUUUGUGUGGGUAUAAGUUUUCAAUUCCUUUAGGUAAAUACCAAGGAGCAUGAUUGCUGGAUCAUAUGGUAAGUGUAUGUUUAGCUUUGUAAGAAACAGCCAAACUGCCUUCCAAAGUGGCUGCAACAUUUUUCAUUCCCAUCAGCAAUGAAUGAGAGUUCCUGUUGCUACACAUCCUCACCAGCAUUUGGUGUUGGUAGUGUUUCAGAUUUUGGCCAUUCUGAUCGGUGUGUUCUGGUUGAAUCAUUUUUUGACUGGAAAGUUUUUAGAUCUUUCCGUUACUUUUGAGUUAUUUGGGAACUCUUUUGAAUAAAGGGUUCACCAAUAGCACAAGAAAUAAACCCUAGUGUUACUUGGUACCAGGCAGCACACUUAGGGUUUUACCUGUAUUGUCUCAUUAAAGAUUUUAUUUAUUUAUUUGAGAGAGAGCAAGAGAGAGAGAGCACAAGAGCAAGGGGGAGGGGAAGAGGCAGAGGGAGAAGCAAAUUCCUCACUGAGCAGGGAGGCUGAUGCGAUAUGGGGCCUCGAUCCCAGGACCCCAGGAUCAUGACCUAAGCCAAAGGCAGAUGCUUCACCGGGGUGGCCUUGAGCCACCCAGGCACCCCUGUAUUGUUUCAUUAAAUACCAUGAGAUCAGUACUCUUGUUACCCUCUUUCAUUUUUGAAGAAAGUGAGAUUUAGGGAAAUUGCCUAAAUUCAUUCAGCUGCAGUUCAACCUAGGUCUGUUUGGCUUCGAAGUUUAUGGCUUUUUAUUUUAGAAUAGUUUUAGGUUAUAGAAAAAUUGCAAAGAUAACACAGAGCGUCCUGUAUUCCCAGUGCUAUGGACUGAAUGUUUGUGUCCCAGGAUUCCUGUGUUGAAGCUUAAACCCCAGUGUGAUGAUAUUGGGAGGGGUGACGUUUGGGAGGUGAUUAGGUCAUGAGGGUGGAGCCCCAAUCAUGAGAUUAGUGCCCUUGUAAAAGAGACUCCAGAGAGCUCCCUCACCCUUCCACAAUGUGAAAACACGGCAAGAAGAUGGCCGUCUGUGAGCCAGGAAGUGGGUCCUCACUAGACACUGAAUCUGCCAGCACCUUGAUCUCAGACUUCCAAGCCCCCAGAACUGUGAGAAAGAAAUGUUUUUGUUUAAGCCAUCCAGUCUAUGAUAUUUUUGUUAUAGCCACACGAAUGGACCCACAGACUCAGUUUCCCCUAAUAUUAACAUCUUCUGUAACUGCAGUACAUUUGCUGAAACUAUGAGCUUAACCUUGGUUCAUUACUGUUAACUAAGCUCUAGACUUUACUCAGAUUUCACCAGUUUUUCCACUAAUGUCCUUUUUCUAUCUUAGGACCCAGUCCAGAAUAUACCGAAUUGCAUUUAGAAAAGCUUGUCAUUUUAACCAUUUCACUUGGAUUGCUCUAUAGAGAAGUUUAUAAAUCUACAAAAAGGUAGAAAAUUCCAUAAUUGUUCUUUGAGUCUGGGUGACACAGCCUAAUUAUGGAAUUGUUCAGGUCGAACAUUUCUGUUUUUCUUAGAAUAUAAUAACCACUUUGAUUUUCAGAUAUACUUUGAUUUUUGUGCCUGAUCCAAAAACUCAGAGACUUUUCCUUAAAGCUUUUUGUAAUAGCUUUCAGUAACACUCUUAGUUUCUUAGUUUUCCAGAGAAAUAAGCUCCCAAGUAACCAUGUUAGUGUUACUCAGAACUCUGCAGUCCUCUUGUCCUGAUGGCUUCCUUCCACAAGCCUUCAUCUCUGUUCCCUUCAU